rnacentral:rRNA from 1 species
AUUGAACGCUGGCGGCAGGCCUAACACAUGCAAGUCGAGCGAGCGGCGGACGGGUGAGUAAUGUAUGGGGCUUGCCCGAUAGAGGGGGAUAACAACUGAAAACGGUGGCUAAUACCGCAUACUAUCGGAUAACACAUAUGGGAUUAGCUAGUAGGUGGGGUAAAGGCUCACAUGGGCGACGAUCUCGAGCUGGUCUGGGAGGCUGAUGAGGCACACGGGGACGUGUACACGGCCCAGACUCCUCCGGAGGUGGCAGUGGGAAAUAUUGCCAAAUGGGCGCAAGCCUGAUGCAGCCAUGCCGCGUGUAUGAAGAAGUCCUUAGGGUUUUAAAGUACUUUCAGCGGGGAGGCGUUACCCGCAGAAGAAGCACCGGCUAACUCCGUGCCAGCAGCCGCGGUAAUUC